rnacentral:rRNA from 1 species
AGCGAACGCUGGCGGCAGGCCUAACACAUGCUAGUCGAACGAACCCUUCGGGGUUAGUGGCGGACGGGUGAGUAACACGUGGGAACGUGCCUUUAGGUUCGGAAUAACUCAGGGAAACUUGUGCUAAUACCGAAUGUGCCCUUCGGGGGAAAGAUUUAUCGCCUUUAGAGCGGCCCGCGUCUGAUUAGCUAGUUGGUGAGGUAAUGGCUCACCAAGGCUACGAUCAGUUGCUGGUCUGAGAGGAUGACCAGCCACAUUGGGACUGAGACACGGCCCAAACUCCUACGGGAGGCAGCAGUGGGGAAUCUUGCGCAAUGGGCGAAAGCCUGACGCAGCCAUGCCGCGUGGAUGAUGAAGGUCUUAGGAUUGUAAAAUCCUUUCACCGGUGAAGAUAAUGACUGUAGCCGGAGAAGAAGCCCCGGCUAACUUCGUGCCAGCAGCCGCCGUAAUAC